UAUGAUUACUUAUCAUAUAAAAGAAUGUAGGUUACAGUGAUAACGUAUUUAUAACAGAAAUCAGUCUUUUUUGUACAUCUGUAGAGUGGAAACAACAUGUGGAAAAUUUACGUGUGUGUCAUUGGAUUUGCUCUUCUAGGGCUUGCCAUUGGUCAACUCAUCACACCUUUUAUGGCGUGUGAAAUGCAGCAAAUGAAGGAAAAGGGCUUAAGCAGUACUUUAUCUUACAGUGAUCCGGAAAUGCAGGAAAUCAGGGAUUACUGUUUUAAACAUGCAUUUGAUCAUCUCGGAACACUCGGGUAACAUGGUAACCAACACCAAUUUGAAUGUUUCACAACCUUCAAUACGAUAAUAAAAAUAAGUCAUUCACGUUAUUAAAACGCUU